UACGAAGGGGGCUAGCGUUGCUCGGAGUCACUGGGCGUAAAGGGUGCGUAGGCGGGUCUUUAAGUCAGGGGGGAAAUCCUGGAGCUCAACUCCAGAACUGCCUUUGAUACUGGAGAGCUUGAGUCCGGAAGAGGUGAGUGGAACUCCGAGUGUAGAGGUGAAAUUCGUAGAUAUUCGGAAGAACACCAGUGGCGAAGGCGGCUCACUGGUCCGGUACUGACGCUGAGGUGCGAAAGCGUGGGGAGCAAACAGG
rnacentral:rRNA from 1 species